rfam:Picea glauca, whole genome shotgun sequence.
ACAUGCCUACAACAUAACAUUAAUUCAUAGGAUCCCAUUAUAACUCCAUAGUUAAGCACGCUCAAGCUAGAGUAGUACUAGGAUAGGUGACUAUCCGGGAUGUCCUAGUGUUUUACAUGCC